UUGUGUUGAUACAAGUACCAAUGUUCGUGUAGAAACAUUUUAAUCACAUACAAAAUUUCAUGAUACAGCGCUGAUUACCUCCGCCAUCUUGGUCAGACUUUUUUUGUAACUCCCGCCUCCAAACACAAACACGCGAACCUGAUUGGUUCUCGAGUGGUCCUCAUUUGAAUAAAGUUAAACUUUCGUUAACUUUGUUUCGCUUGCCUCAGCGAUUCGCUCUCAUUUCGCCCAAUCAGGGCGAUUUUCGUCUCCAUUCAACCUCAAUGAGAGCGAAGCGAAAUUUCGCUGUGUGGAAACCUACCGUUAGGCUUUCAAUCUGA